AACGAACGCUGGCGGCAUGCCCAACACAUGCAAGUCGAACGAGAUCUUCGGGUCUAGUGGCGCAUGGGUGCGUAACGCGUGGGAAUCUGCCCUUUGGUUCGGAAUAACAGUUGGAAACGACUGCUAAUACCGGAUGAUGACGAAAGUCCAAAGAUUUAUCGCCAGAGGAUGAGCCCGCGUAGGAUUAGCUAGUUGGUGUGGUAAAGGCGCACCAAGGCGACGAUCCUUAGCUGGUCUGAGAGGAUGAUCAGCCACACUGGGACUGAGACACGGCCCAGACUCCUACGGGAGGCAGCAGUGGGGAGUAUUGGACAAUGGGCGAAAGCCUGAUCCAGCAAUGCCGCGUGAGUGAUGAAGGCCUUAGGGUUGUAAAGCUCUUUUACCCGGGAUGAUAAUGACAGUACCGGGAGAAUAAGCUCCGGCUAACUCCGUGCCAGCCGCCGCGGUAA
rnacentral:rRNA from 1 species